GGGACCUAGGGGGCUCCUUCCCCCGGCCCCAGGCUAGAGGAAAGGGGGCGGGGCGAGUAGGGGGAGAGCAGGGGUGCCCGCUCGCCAGGCUCCAUCCUGCUCGGGGCUGGCGCGGGUGUCCCCAGAUGCAGACGGGACACAGAGCCCCUGAGCCCUGACUCUAGAGCGGGCGAUGCAGGCCGAGGGCUCAGGAGGCGUGCCUCGCAGCCCUGAUGCUCCGGUCAACAGGGCUACCAGGGCGGCUGUGAUAGAGGAAAAAUGUUAAAGGUCAGAAACCACGUGAGCGCUGGGCCUCAACUUUGUUCAGGAUAGAAGAGACUUAAACAUAUCCUUGGGCAAAGGAGCGAGACAUUGAAGAUGGAAAAGAGAAAGUGAGGGUAGUCGAAGAAACAGAGUCUCCGAGAAGGCUGGCAGGUGCCUUUGGGGAAUAAGCGGUGCUGGAACGGUUGGAGUACUCAGUUUUUUCGUCCACCUUCAUUUCCCUCAACUCUAAGUAACAGCUUUACAUGCCGGAAUAGGUUACCAUAGCAAUAUUUUCUAAGCAAUAGAUGGGCUGAAUUGCACUAUUGAAGAAGCUCAAGAGAAAAUAGGAAUAACAACCUGGGAAAGUCCAGCGUGCUACAGAGCCUCGAGGCUGUUAAAACAAGGGGCUCAAUGGAUUCGCUAGUGAUCGAUCAGAAAGGUGCGACCCCCAGGUCAUAUAAAGUGCAGUGUGGGCAGCUAUGAAUCACCCUCAGAACUCCCACCUCCUCAUCUCCAAGUGACCCAUCCACAAAGCUCAAAUGACAAAAGACCAAUUAAACAGGUUGGGGGGAGGAAUCUUUGAAAUUCAUAUCAAAAAGGGAUACUUGACAAAGCUCUCCUACAGGGAAUCCUAGGAAGAUGGUGGUCACCCUGACAGAAUAAGUUUUUGAUUUUUCUGAAUCUCUACCUAAAAACAGAGCAGCCAGAGAGCAAAACAAAAAACCACAGACAAUAAUUACAUCAAAACAGAGCAGCCAGAGAGCAAAACAAAAAAGCCACAGACAAUAAUUACAACAAAAAGUAGGUUACAGAGUGUCCCGUUGAACCCCAAAACACAGGUGAGUGGGACAAAGCAGCAAACAGCCACAGACCUGCUGGUUAUUGGCAAAGUGCAGGAGGAAACAGUGGGAAAUAAUGCAUCAGCUGAUGGAUCUAAGAACAGGAGAAGCCCAAAAAGAACAAACAGGGGGCCAAUUUGAGACCAGCAGCUGAAACUGGAGGUUUUCCCACUCUAUUGUGAGUGAGGGCAAGGUUGGAAGGGCUGGAGGAGUCCAAUUCCUUUGAACCCUUUUUUGGUAGCUCUAAUGAGAUAUAAUAUAUAUUAUUAUACCAUUCAUGUACCAUACAA